UACGUAGGGUGCGAGCGUUGUCCGGAAUUAUUGGGCGUAAAGAGCUCGUAGGCGGUCUGUCGCGUCUGCUGUGAAAUCCCGAGGCUCAACCUCGGGUCUGCAGUGGGUACGGGCAGACUAGAGUGCGGUAGGGGAGAAUGGAACUCCUGGUGUAGCGGUGGAAUGCGCAGAUAGUCAGGAAGAACACCGAUGGCGAAGGCAGUUCUCUGGGCCGUAAGCUGAUC
rnacentral:rRNA from 1 species